rnacentral:tRNA from 1 species
UGGGAUAUCGCCAAGCGGUAAGGCAUCGCACUUUGACUGCGAUACGCGUAGGUUCAAAUCCUGCUAUCCCAGCCA